rnacentral:rRNA from 1 species
CUUGUGCCAGCAGCCGCGGUAAUACGAAGGGGGCUAGCGUUGUUCGGAUUUACUGGGCGUAAAGCGCACGUAGGCGGACUAUUAAGUCAGGGGUGAAAUCCCGGGGCUCAACCCCGGAACUGCCUUUGAUACUGGUAGUCUCGAGUCCGGAAGAGGUGAGUGGAAUUCCGAGUGUAGAGGUGAAAUUCGUAGAUAUUCGGAGGACACCAGUGGCGAAGGCGGCUCACUGGUCCGGUACUGACGCUGAGGUGCGAAAGCGUGGGGAGCAAACAGGAUU